GAUGAAAACGUAGCGAAAUGCGAUACUUGGUGUGAAUUGCAGAAUCCCGUGAACCAUCGAGUCUUUGAACGCAAGUUGCGCCCGAAGCCAUUAGGCCGAGGGCACACCUGCCUGGGCGUCACACGUCGUUGCCCCCCCAUCUACUCCUUCGGGAUUGCGGGGGGCGGAUGAUGGCCUCCCGUGCGCCUCGUCGCGCGGUUGGCAUAAAUGCCAAGUCCUCGGCGACGCACGCCACGACAAUCGGUGGUUGCGAAACCUCGGUUGCCCGUCGUGUGCGGUCGUCGCGCAUCGAGGGCUCGAAAAAAUUGCCGGGCUCCGGCUCGGCUUUCAACGCGACCCCAGGUCAGGCGGGGUUACCCGCUGAAUUUAAGCAUAUCAAUAAGCGGAGGA
rnacentral:misc_RNA from 1 species